UACAGAGGUGGCAAGCGUUGUUCGGAAUUACUGGGCGUAAAGGGCGCGUAGGUGGCCUUCUUAGUCAGACGUGAAAUCCCCAGGCUUAACCUGGGAACUGCGUCUGAUACUGGAAGGCUCGAGUUCGGGAGAGGAAUGUGGAAUUCCAGGUGUAGCGGUGAAAUGCGUAGAUAUCUGGAGGAACACCGGUGGCGAAGGCGACAUCCUGGACCAGCACUGACACUGAGGCACGAAAGCGUGGGGAGCAAACAGG
rnacentral:rRNA from 1 species